rnacentral:rRNA from 1 species
AUUGAACGCUGGCGGAAUGCUUUACACAUGCAAGUCGAACGGCAGCACGGACUUCGGUCUGGUGGCGAGUGGCGAACGGGUGAGUAAUGUAUCGGAACGUGCCCAGUCGUGGGGGAUAACGUAGUGAAAAUUACGCUAAUACCGCAUACGAUCUAUGGAUGAAAGCGGGGGAUCGCAAGACCUCGCGCGAUUGGAGCGGCCGAUAUCAGAUUAGGUAGUUGGUGGGGUAAAGGCCCACCAAGCCAACGAUCUGUAGCUGGUCUGAGAGGACGACCAGCCACGCUGGAACUGAGACACGGUCCAGACUCCUACGGGAGGCAGCAGUGGGGAAUUUUGGACAAUGGGCGCAAGCCUGAUCCAGCCAUUCCGCGCGCAGGAUGAAGGCCCUCGGGUUGUAAACUGCUUUUGUACAGAACGAAAAGGUUUCUACUAAUACUAGGAGCUCAUGACGGUACUGUAAGAAUAAGCACCGGCUAACUACGUGCCAGCAGCCGCGGUAA